UAUGAAGAGGAUAAAUUUUUGAGAGAAAAAAUUAGUAAGUUAUUGGGAUGUACCCUUAAAAAUGAUACCGAAAUCGGUAUGCAGUGCUCGGAAACGGGAAGAUGGGCUUACCCGUAGCUAAUGUGCUUAGAUCAGUGGACGCAAGAACUCGCAGUCCACCGAGACUCUCGAUACACGGCCUUAUAUAGUGGUCUCUGCUAGAAUCAUUUGGACCCCAGUGUAACAAAUCUAUUGAAAGAGAGAAAAUCUCAGCUCAAGGAUCAACAUGUCUUUAUUCCAAGAAAGAGUGUACAUAUGCCAGAAUCAUAUGGACCGCAGACUGGCCCUGGUGAUUCCGUUAAGAAAAAAGAGGAAAAAUCAGUGCUUGUGCUCAAUGGUCAUUGGACAAAGGUGUAUGCCAGAAUUUUUUCAAGAACAGUCUGAAUCUGACAUGGAAAAAAAGAAGAAACACAGCCUUCCCUGUUUAUAAAUCUACAUUCUGACAAAGGGUAAGAAAGAAAUUCAGGAGUUCUUGGAUUGCAUCAAACUGCUAAAAGACCUCAACAAAAACAGUGUCUUGAAAAUAAAAAUGAAAAUAAUCAGUGAAAAAAGAUGAUGAGAGAAAGAGCCACUAAAAAUCUUCAAGCCUUUGAGCUGAAAUCUGGAAGUCAAUCUGUGGACUUUACUGGUAUGUCUUACUAAGUCAUCAUUUGUGUAUAAUAAAUACACUAAACUGUAAACACUUGUUAAAAUGUGUAUAAUUUUUAGAUAUAAUUUGUACCUCACAGACUUCAAUAGUUUCAUGUAAUUUUAGUAAUAAUAAAAAUUUCCUGUUGUCUGGCUAGAUCAGAAACUAUUAUUGUCCAAUUUUGGAUAUUGUGAAAUAAUUCAUCUAGUAAAAUUGGAUAUGCAUACAUGUGUGUACACUUACAUGUAAAUUAAUUGUUAUUGCAAAUUCAAUCUCAUUAAGUUGAAUGUUGACUAAUGUUUUUCAUCAAAAUUGUUUACACUGACUUGUUUGUGGAUUUUUCCAUUUGCCCAAUCAUGUCAAGGAGCACAUGGCAGGAAAUGCUUUCUCCUCCAUUGCACCUGGUGUUUUUAGAGGUCUGUGUUUGCUUUGCUCCAAUUUUGUAUUGUUUCAAUGGACUUUAAAGCUUGAUCACUGUUGGUAGUCUUCAUAUUUUAUAUACUAUUAGAGUACUUGAAGAGAACUGUAAAGAUUUAACAUACAGUAUAAUGCAUGUAUAUUGCACUUCAAGUACAGUGUAUGUGGUUUAGAAAUGUUAAUUUAUCUCAUAGUGCAUUGAAUUUGUUGAAAAUUAGAAAAUGUGUUGAAAUUUUUUAAAAAUAAUGUUAGA